rnacentral:rRNA from 1 species
AGUGAACGCUGGCGGUAGGCCUAACACAUGCAAGUCGAACGGCAGCACAGUAAGAGCUUGCUCUUACGGGUUGCGAGUGGCGGACGGGUGAGGAAUACAUCGGAAUCUACUUUUUCGUGGGGGAUAACGUAGGGAAACUUACGCUAAUACCGCAUACGACCUACGGGGGAAAGCAGGGGAUCUUCGGACCUUGCGCGAUUGAAUGAGCCGAUGUCGGAUUAGCUAGUUGGCGGGGUAAAGGCCCACCAUGGCGACGAUCCGUAGCUGGUCUGAGAGGAUGGUCGGCCACACUGGAACUGGAACACGGUCCAGACUCCUACGGGAGGCAGCAGUGGGGAAUAUUGGACAAUGGGCGCAAGCCUGAUCCAGCCAUACCGCGUGGGUGAAGAAGGCCUUCGGGUUGUAAAGCCCUUUUGUUGGGAAAGAAAAGCAGCAGGUUAAUACCCCGCUGUUCUGACGGUACCCAAAGAAUAAGCACCGGCUAACUUCGUG